rnacentral:tRNA from 1 species
GCUUGUGUUUUCUGGACUGGAUCGCCGAAGCCGGCUCCGUCCCGGUCAUCGCGGCAGUGCUGGAAGAGGUGCCGUUCGCACCUGCAACGCAGGCA